ACUUUCUGUUUACAGGUAUUAAUGCCACCUGCUGGAUGUUCAGGUUCCUACAGCUUUGAGUUACCUUUCCUGUUAGGCAGGAAGUUGUCAUAAACCAGGAAGCCCAGCCCAGGGAGAGUACUGCAUGGUGUAGACUGUAAUUCCAGUGUGUAAUUUACUGCCAUCCCACUGCACCAGUUUGUUAGACGCAUUGUCUUGCCGGAGACCAGGUUCGAUCCUGACCACGGAUGAAAUGCAGGUCUGUAUACACGCCGCAGCUCGGCUGCUGAGAAUGUUUAUCUCGAGUGACCUAUGACCUGGGCAUGCGCAGUCGGAAUACCGAACUCACUUAUACUCAGCAGAUCAGGCACAAGAGUUUCAAGUGAAUACCCAUGGGUUGAGUUAAGAUUGGUGCAAGGAUUAACCAGCGUGUGAAGCCCUCAGAUUCCGAAGACAAGAUCUUUAAUUUUUUUUUGCUUGUUAAGUGGGAUUGAAAUAAAAUUGUAAUCCUGGCACAGAAUGUCUGUCAGAAUAAUGGCGGGGAUAAUCUGUUUCUUAUGUGCAAAUGCCACUGCAAUUUGUGGUGGGUGUAGAAAUGUGAUUAAAUGUGGAAAUCAAUAA